CGAAUGCUGACAUAAGUAACGAUAAAGCGGGUGAAAAGCCCGCUCGCCGGAAGACCAAGGGUUCCUGUCCAACGUUAAUCGGGGCAGGGUGAGUCGACCCCUAAGGCGAGGCCGAAAGGCGUAGUCGAUGGGAAACAGGUUAAUAUUCCUGUACUUGGUGUUACUGCGAAGGGGGGACGGAGAAGGCUAUGUUGGCCGGGCGACGGUUGUCCCGGUUUAAGCGUGUAGGCUGGUUUUCCAGGCAAAUCCGGAAAAUCAAGGCUGAGGCGUGAUGACGAGGCACUACGGUGCUGAAGCAACAAAUGCCCUGCUUCCAGGAAAAGCCUCUAAGCAUCAGGUAACAUCAAAUCGUACCCCAAACCGACACAGGUGGUCAGGUAGAGAAUACCAAGGCGCUUGAGAGAACUCGGGUGAAGGAACUAGGCAAAAUGGUGCCGUAACUUCGGGAGAAGGCACGCUGAUAUGUAGGUGAAGUCCCUCGCGGAUGGAGCUGAAAUCAGUCGAAGAUACCAGCUGGCUGCAACUGUUUAUUAAAAACACAGCACUGUGCAAACACGAAAGUGGACGUAUACGGUGUGACGCCUGCCCGGUGCCGGAAGGUUAAUUGAUGGGGUCAGCGCAAGCGAAGCUCUUGAUCGAAGCCCCGGUAAACGGCGGCCGUAACUAUAACGGUCCUAAGGUAGCGAAAUUCCUUGUCGGGUAAGUUCCGACCUGCACGAAUGGCGUAAUGAUGGCCAGGCUGUCUCCACCCGAGACUCAGUGAAAUUGAACUCGCUGUGAAGAUGCAGUGUACCCGCGGCAAGACGGAAAGACCCCGUGAACCUUUACUAUAGCUUGACACUGAACAUUGAGCCUUGAUGUGUAGGAUAGGUGGGAGGCUUUGAAGUGUGGACGCCAGUCUGCAUGGAGCCGACCUUGAAAUACCACCCUUUAAUGUUUGAUGUUCUAACGUUGACCCGUAAUCCGGGUUGCGGACAGUGUCUGGUGGGUAGUUUGACUGGGGCGGUCUCCUCCUAAAGAGUAACGGAGGAGCACGAAGGUUGGCUAAUCCUGGUCGGACAUCAGGAGGUUAGUGCAAUGGCAUAAGCCAGCUUGACUGCGAGCGUGACGGCGCGAGCAGGUGCGAAAGCAGGUCAUAGUGAUCCGGUGGUUCUGAAUGGAAGGGCCAUCGCUCAACGGAUAAAAGGUACUCCGGGGAUAACAGGCUGAUACCGCCCAAGAGUUCAUAUCGACGGCGGUGUUUGGCACCUCGAUGUCGGCUCAUCACAUCCUGGGGCUGAAGUAGGUCCCAAGGGUAUGGCUGUUCGCCAUUUAAAGUGGUACGCGAGCUGGGUUUAGAACGUCGUGAGACAGUUCGGUCCCUAUCUGCCGUGGGCGCUGGAGAACUGAGGGGGGCUGCUCCUAGUACGAGAGGACCGGAGUGGACGCAUCACUGGUGUUCGGGUUGUCAUGCCAAUGGCACUGCCCGGUAGCUAAAUGCGGAAGAGAUAAGUGCUGAAAGCAUCUAAGCACGAAACUUGCCCCGAGAUGAGUUCUCCCUGACUCCUUGAGAGUCCUGAAGGAACGUUGAAG
rnacentral:rRNA from 1 species